rnacentral:lncRNA from 1 species
GAAUUGACGAGCUGACUACUCUGUUGUCCUUUUCAGCAAAAUCCAUAUUUCUCGCAAUAUCAUUAACACCAUCAGAGGCGAGUCACCUUCUUGGUGAAACCCCUCUUGAUGAAGCUGGUCUCCUAUCUUUUUCAGGGAAAUCAACACUUUUCGAUAAAGUACCAAUGCCACCAGAAGUUGUUCUUCUAGGUGAAAGUCCUCUUGAUGAAGACAGGUUGGAAACGGGUCCAUUUAGU